AUUGAACGCUGGCGGCAUGCCUAACACAUGCAAGUCGAGCGGAUGAACGGGGCUUUCUCCUGUAUGCAGCUGCCGACGGGCGAGUAAUUCCUACGAAUCUGCCUGGUCGUUAGGAAUAACAUCCCGUAACGGGCGCUAAUACCGCAUCCGUUCUGAUGUAGAAAGGCAGGGAUCAUCGGACCAAGCGCUAUCAGAUGAGCCUAGUUCGUAUUACCUAGUUGGGGUGGUAAAUGCCUACCAAGGCGACGUACCGUAACUGGUCUGAGUAGAUGAUCAGGCACACUGGAACUGAGGCAAGGUCCAGGCUCCUAAGGGGGGCAGGCGUGGGGAAUAUUGGACAAUGGGGGAAAGCCUGAUCCAGCCAUGGCGGGGGUGGGGAGAAGGUUUUCGGAAUGUAAAACACUUUAAGUUGGGAGGAAAGGCAGUAAGUUAAUACCUUGCUGUUUUGACGGUACCAACAGAAGAAGCACCGGCUAACUUCGUG
rnacentral:rRNA from 1 species